rnacentral:rRNA from 1 species
GGCCGCGGGAAUUCGAUUAGAGUUUGAUCAUGGCUCAGAUUGAACGCUGGCGGCAGGCCUAACACAUGCAAGUCGAGCGGUAGAGAGGUGCUUGCACCUCUUGAGAGCGGCGGACGGGUGAGUAAUGCCUAGGAAUCUGCCUGGUAGUGGGGGAUAACGCUCGGAAACGGACGCUAAUACCGCAUACGUCCUACGGGAGAAAGCAGGGGACCUUCGGGCCUUGCGCUAUCAGAUGAGCCUAGGUCGGAUUAGCUAGUUGGUGGGGUAAUGGCUCACCAAGGCGACGAUCCGUAACUGGUCUGAGAGGAUGAUCAGUCACACUGGAACUGAGACACGGUCCAGACUCCUACGGGAGGCAGCAGUGGGGAAUAUUGGACAAUGGGCGAAAGCCUGAUCCAGCCAUGCCGCGUGUGUGAAGAAGGUCUUCGGAUUGUAAAGCACUUUAAGUUGGGAGGAAGGGCAUUAACCUAAUACGUUAGUGUUUUGACGUUACCGACAGAAUAAGCACCGGCUAACUCUGUGCCAGCAGCCGCGGUAAUACGAAUCACUAGUGAAUU